ensembl:snRNA U4 U4 spliceosomal RNA
AGCUUUGUGCAGUGGCAGUAUCAUAGCCAAUGAGGUUUAUCCAAGGCGCGAUUAUUGCUAAUAGGAAAACACUACCUUAGAGAUUAUAUGGUUACAUCUAUUUAUCCCAUCCGUUUUUAAAUUCUUAUAUAAGA